rnacentral:rRNA from 1 species
GAUGAACGCUGGCGGCGCGCCUAACACAUGCAAGUCGGACGAUUAAAGCACCUUCGGGUGUGUAUAAAGUGGCGAACGGCUGAGUAACACGUGGGCAACCUGCCCCUCUCAUUGGGAUAGCCACGGGAAACCGUGGAUAAUACCGAAUACUUCGGGACUUCCGCAUGGAAGACUCGAGAAAGCUCCGGCGGAGAGGGAUGGGCCCGCGGCCUGUUAGCUUGUUGGUGGGGUAAUGGCCUACCAAGGCAAUGAUGGGUAGCUGGGUUGAGAGACCGACCAGCCAGAUUGGGACUGAGACACGGCCCAGACUCCUACGGGAGGCAGCAGUGGGGAAUCUUGCACAAUGGGCGAAAGCCUGAUGCAGCGACGCCGCGUGCGGGAUGGAGGCCUUCGGGUUGUAAACCGCUUUCAGCAGGGACGAGGCGAAAGUGACGGUACCUGCAGAAGAAGCCCCGGCUAACUACGUG